UACACUCCUGCGGGAGGCAGCAGUGGGGAAUUUUGGACAAUGGGGGCAACCCUGAUCCAGCAAUGCCGCGUGAGUGAAGAAGGCCUUCGGGUUGUAAAGCUCUUUUGUCAGGGAAGAAACGGUGGUGGCGAAUAACUACUACUAAUGACGGUACCUGAAGAAUAAGCACCGGCUAACUACGUGCCAGCAGCCGCGGUAAUACGUAGGGUGCAAGCGUUAAUCGGAAUUACUGGGCGUAAAGCGUGCGCAGGCGGUUGUGUAAGUCAGAUGUGAAAUCCCCGGGCUCAACCUGGGAAUUGCAUUUGAGACUGCACGGCUAGAGUGUGUCAGAGGGGGGUAGAAUUCCACGUGUAGCAGUGAAAUGCGUAGAUAUGUGGAGGAAUACCGAUGGCGAAGGCAGCCCCCUGGGAUAACACUGACGCUCAUGCACGAAAGCGUGGGGAGCAAACAGGAUUAGAUACCCCGGUAGUCCCAUGAU
rnacentral:rRNA from 1 species